UACGUAGGGGGCUAGCGUUGUCCGGAAUCAUUGGGCGUAAAGAGCUUGUAGGCGGUUUGUCGCGUCUGCUGUGAAAUUUCGGGGCUCAACCCCGAACUUGCAGUGGGUACGGGCAGACUAGAGUGUGGUAGGGGAGACUGGAAUUCCUGGUGUAGCGGUGAAAUGCGCAGAUAUCAGGAGGAACACCGAUGGCGAAGGCAGGUCUCUGGGCCGCAACUGACGCUGAGGAGCGAAAGCAUGGGGAGCGAACAGG
rnacentral:rRNA from 1 species